rnacentral:lncRNA from 10 species
ACAGGUCUCCCUCCAUUGCCCAGGCUGGUGUGUAGCAGUGGGAUCACGGAGCACUGCAACGUUGACCUUUCAGGCUCAGGUGAUUCUCCAACCUCAGCCUACAGAGUAGCUGGAACUGCAGGUCACACCACCAUGCACAGGUCUCAAUGCUCUCCCAAAUAUCCUUUCAAAGAUUCUACAAGAAGAGUGUUUCCAAACUGCUGAAUGAAAAGAAAGGUUUAACCCUGCGAGAUGAAUGCACACAUCAGAAAGCAGCUUCUCAGAUAGCUUCCUUCUAGUUUUUGACCUGCGAUAUUUGCUUUUUCCCUACUGGCCUCAAUUAGCUCCCAAAAGUCCAUUAGCAGAAUGACAAAAACAGUGUUUACAAACUGCUGAAUCAAAAGAAAGGUUUAACUCUGUGAGAUGAAUGCACACAUCACAAAGCAGUUUCUCGGAAAGCUUCUUUCUAGUUUUUAUCUGAAAGUGAUUUCUUUUUCACCAUAGGCCUGAAUGCACUCCCAAAUAUCACUUCGCAGAUUUUACACAAACAGUGUUUUGAAACUGCUGAGUGAAAAGAAAAGUAUAAUUCUGUGAGAUGAAUGCACAACACAAAGCAGUUUGUCAGAAAGCUUCCUUCUCGCUUUUAUCUGAAGAUAUUUUCUUUUUCAUCGUAGGACUUAACGCACUUGCAAAUGUCCAUUCGCAGAAUGUACAAAAACAGGGUUUCCUAACUGCUGAAUCAAAAGAAAGGUUUAACUCUGUGAGAUGAAUGCACACAUCACAAAACAGUUUCUCAGAUAGCUUCUUUCUAAUUUUAUUCUAAAGAAACUUGCUUUUUCAUCAUAGACCUCAAUGCAUUCCCAAAUAUCCCUUCGCAGAUACUACAAAAACAGUGCUUCCAAACUGCUGAAUGAAAAGAAAGAUUUAACUCUGUGAGAUGAAUGCAUACAUCACAAAGAGGUAUCUCAUAUAGCUGUCUUCUAAAUUGUAUCCUGGGAUAUUUCCUUUUUUGCCAUUGGCCCCAAUGAGCUCCAAAAUGUCCAUUUGCAGAUUGGUCAAAAACAGUGUUUCCAAACUGCUGAAUCAAAAGACAGGUUUAAAUCUGUAAGAAGAAUGCACACAUCACAAAGCAGUUUCUCAGAAAGCUACUUUCUAGUUUUUAUCUGAAGAGAAUUUCUUUUUCACCAUAGGCCUCAAUGUGCUCUCAAAUAUCCCUUUGCAGAUUCUACAAAAACACUGUUUCCAAACUGCUGAAUGAAAUGAAAGAUUUAACUCUGCAAGAUGAAUGCACACAUUACAAGCGGUUUCCCAGAUAGGUUUAUUCUAGUUUUUAUCCUGAUAUAAUAACAUUUUCACCAUUGGCUUCAACGAGCUCCCAAUUGUCCAUUUGCAAAAUGGACAAAAACAGUGUUUCCAAACAGCUGUAUCAAAAGAAAGGUUUAAAUCUGUUGGAUGAAUGCACCCAUCACAAACCAGUUUCUCAGAAAGCUUCUUUCUAGUUUUUAUCUGAAGGUAUUUUCUUUUUCACCAUAUGCCUCAAAAUGCACCUAAAUAUCCCUUUGAAGUUUCUACAAAAAAAUUGUUUCCAAACUGCUCAAUCAAAAGAGAUGUUUAGCUCUUUGAGAUGAAUGCACACAUUACAAAGCAGUUUCUCAAGAGGCUUCUUUCUAGUUUUUAUCUGGAGAUAUUUUCUUUUUCACCAUAGGUCUCAAUGUGCUCCCAAAUAUCCAUUCAAAGAUUCUAUAAGAACAGUGUUUCCAAACUGCUGAAUGAAAAGAAAGGUUUACCACUGUGAGAUGAAUGCACACAUCACAAGUGGUUUCCAAGAUAGGUUUCUUCUAGUUUUUAUCCUGGAAUAUUAGCAUUUUUGCCAUUGGCCUUAAUGAGCUCCCAAAUUUUCAUUUGCAGAAUGGACAAAAACAGUGUUUUUAAACUGCUGAAUUAAAAGAAAGCUUAAAUUCUGUGAGAUGAAUGCACACACCACAAAGUAGUUUCUCAGAAAGCUUCUUUCUAGUUUUUAUCUGAAGAUAGUUUCAUUUUCACUGUAGGCCUCAAUGCACUCCCAAAUAUCCCUUAGUAGAUUCUACAAAAACAGUGUUUCCAAACUGCUAAACGAAAGAAAGGUUUAACUCUGCGAGAUGAAUGCACGUGUCACAAAGCAGUUUCCAAGAUAAGUUUCUUCUAGUUUUAUCCUGGAAUAUUCACUUUUUCACCAUUGGCCUCAAUGAGCUCCCAAAUGUCCAUUCGCAGAAUGGACAAAAACAGUGUUUCCAAACUUCAGAAUCAAAAGAAAUAUUUAAGUUUGUGAGAUGAAUGCACACAUCACAGAUUGGUUGUUUAGAUAGCUUCCUUAUAGUUUUUACCCUGGGAUAUUUGCUUUUUUGCCAUUGGCCUCAAUAAGCUCCUCAAUGUCCUUUCACUGAAUGGAGAAAAACAGUGGUUGCGAUCUGCUGAAUCAAAAGAAAGGUUUAACUCUGUGAGACGAAUGCACAUACCUCAAAGCAGUUUCUCAGAAAGCUUCUUUCUAGUUUUUACCUGAAGAGAUCUUCUUUUUCACCAUAGGCUUCAAUACACUCCCAAUUAUCCCUUCACAGAUUCUACAAAAACAGUGUUUCCAAACUGCUGAAUGAAAAGAAAGGUUUAACUCUGCCAGAUGAAUGCACAUAUCACAAAGCGGUUUCUCAGAUAGCUUCCUUCUUGUUUUUAUGCUGGGAUAUUCACUUUUUCACCAUUGGCAUCAAUGAGCUUCCCAAUGUCCUUUCACUGAAUGGAGAAAAACAGCGGUUACAACCUGCUGAACAAAUAGAAAGUUUUAACUCUGUGAGAUGAAUGCACAUAUCACAAAACAGUUUCUCAGAAAGAUCCUUUCCAGUUACUAUCUGAAGGCGUUUUCUUUUUCAGCAUAGUACUCAAUGCACUCCAAAGUAUCCCUUCACAGAUUCUACAAAAUCAGUGUAUACAAACUGAAUAGAGAGGUUUCACUCAGUGAGAUGAAUGCACACAUCACAAAGUGGUUUCUUAGAUAGCUUCCUUAUGUUUUUUAUCCUGAGUAUUCGCUAUUUCACCAUUGGCCUCAAUGAGCUCCCAAAUGUCCAUUUGCAGAAUGGUCAAAACCAGUGUUUUCAAACUGCUGAAUCAAAAGAAAUUUUAACACUGUGAGAUGAAUACACACAUCACAAAAGGGUUUCUCAGAAAACUUCUUUCUAGUUUUUUUCUGAAUAUAUUUUCUCUAUCACCAUAGGCCUUAAUGCACUCCCAAAUAUCCUUUCGCUAGAUAGAUUCCUUCUAGUUUUUGUCCUGGGAUAUUCACUUUUUUGCCAUUGUCCUCAAAGAGCUCCCAAAGUCCAUUUGUAGAAUGGACAAACACGGUAUCUGCAAACUGCUGAAUCAAAAUGAAGUUUUAACUCUUUAAGGUCAAGGCACACGUCACAAAGAACUUCCUCAGAAAGCUUCUUUCUAGUUUUAUCUGAAGAUGUUUUCUUUUCCACCAUAGGCCUCAAUGCACUCCCAAAUAUCCCUUUGCAGAUUCUACAAAAACAGUGUUUCCAAACUGCUGAAUGAAAAGUAAGGUUUAACUCUGUGAGAUGAAUGCUCACAUCACAGAGUGGUUUCUCAGAUGGCUUCCUUUCAGUUUUUAUCCUGAAAUAUUUGCUUUUUUGCCAUUUGCCACAAUGUGCUCCCAAAUGUCCAUUGGCAGAAUGGACAAAAACAGUGUUUCCAAACAGCUGAAUUGAAAGAAAGGUUUAUCUCUGAAAGAUGAAUGCAAACAUCACAAAACAGUUCCUCAGAAAGCUUCUUUCUAGUUUUUAUGUGGAUAUUUUCUUUUUCACAAUAGGCCUCAAUAGGAUUCCAAAUAUCCCUUUGCCGAUUCUACCAAAACAGUGUUUCCAAACUGCCUAAUGAAAAGUAAGUUUUAACUGUGUGAGAUGAAUGCACACAUCACAAAGUGGUUUCCUAGAUAGCUUCCUUCUAGUUUUUAUCCUGGGAUAUUUGCUUUUUGACCAUUUACCUCAAUGAGCUCCAAAAUUUCCAUUUGCAUAAAGGACAAAAACAGUGUUUCCAAACUGCUGAACCAAAGAAAAGUUUGACUCUGUGAGAUGAAUGCACACAUCACAAAGCAGAUUCUCAGAAACUUUCUUUCUAGUUUUUAUCGAAAGAUAUUUAAUUUUGCACCUUAGGCCUCAAUGCCCUCCCAAAUAUCCCUUUGCAGAUUCUGCAAUAACUGUGUUUCCAUGUUGCUGAAUGAAAAGAAAGGUUUUACUCUGUGAGAUGAAUGCACACAUCAUAAAGCAGCUUCGCAGAUAGCUUCCUUCUAAUUUUUAUCCUGGGAUAUUCGACUUUUGGCCAUUGUCAUCAAAGAGCAACAAAAUGUCCAUUUGCAGAAUGGACAAAAACAUUGUUUCCAAACUGCCAAAUCCAAAGAAAAGUUUAAUUCUGUGAGAUGAAUGAUCACAUCACAAAGCAGUUUCCCAGAAAUCUUCUUUCUAUUUUUUAUCUAAAGAUAUUUUCUUUUUCACCAUAGGCCUCAAUGCACUCUCAAAUAUCCCUUAGCGGAUUCUACAAAAACAGUGUUUCCAAACUGCUGAAUGAAAUGAAAGAUUUAACUCUGCGACAUGAAUGCACACAUAACAAGUGGUUUCCCAGAUAGAUUUAUUCUAGUUUUUAUCCUGGGAUAUUCACUUUUUUGCUAUUGUCCUCAAAGAGGUCCCAAAUGUCCAUUCACAGAAUCAACAGUGUUUCCAAACUGCUGAAUCAAAAGAAAGAUUAAACUCUGUGAGACAUAUGCACACAUCACAAUGUAGUUUCUCAGAAAGCUUCUUUCCAGUAUUUACCUGAAGAUAUUUUCUUUUUCACCAUAGGCCUCAAAGGGCUCCCAAAUAUUCCAUCACAGAGUCUACAAAAGCCGUGUAUCCAAACUGCUGAAUGAAAAGGAAGGUUGAACACUGCUAGAUGAAUGCACACAUCACUAAGUAGUUUCUCAGAUAGAUUACUUGUAGUUAUUAUCCUGGGAUAUUCUCUUUUUUGCCAUUGGCCUCAAUGAACACCCAAUUAUCCACUCACAGAAUAGACAAAAACAGUGUUUCCAAACUGCUGAAUCAAAAGAAUGGUUAAACUCUGUGAGAUGAAUGCACAGAUCACAAAGCAGUUUCUCCAAAAGCUUCUUUCUAGUUUUUAUCUGAAUAGAUUUCCUUUUUCACCAUAGGCUUCAAUGUGCUCCCAAAUAUCCCUUCACAGAUUCUUCAAAAAAAGUGCUUCCAAACUGCUGAAUGAAAAGAAAAGUUUAUCUCUGUGAGAGGGAUGCAUACUUCACAAAGUGGUUUCCCAGAUAGUUUUCUUAUAGUAUUUUUCCUGGGAUAUUAGCUGUAUUACCCUUGCCCUCAAUUAGCUCCCAAAUGUCCAUUUGCAGAAUGGAUAAAAAGAGUGUUUCUAAAGUGCUGAAUCAAAAGAAAGUUUUAACUCUGUGAGAUGAGUGUACACAUCACAAAUCAGUUUUUUAGAAAGGUUGUUUCAAGUUUUUAUCUGAAGUAAUUUUCUUUUUCACCAUAGGCCUCAGUGUGCUCCCAAAUAUCCCUUUGCAGAUUCUACAAAAAGAGUGUUCCAAAACUGCUGAAUGAAAAGAAAGAUUUAAUUCUGUGAGAUGAGUGCACACAACACAAGGCAGUUUCUCAGAUAGAUUCCUUCUAGUUGUUAUCUUGGGAUAUGUGCUUUUUCGCCAUUGGCCUCAAUGAGCUCCCAAAUGUCCAUUUGCAGAAUGGACAAAAAGAGUGUUUCCAAACUGCUUAAUCAAAAGAAAGUUUUAACUGUGAGAUGAAUGCACACAUUACAGAGCAGUUUUCAGGAAUGUUCUUUCUAGUUCUUAUCUGAAGAUAUUUUCCUUCUCACCGUAGGCCUCAAUGAACUCCCAAAUAUCCCUUCACAGAUUCUGAAAAAACAGUGUUUCCACACUUCUGAAUGAAAAGAAAGGUGUAAUUCUGCAAGACAAAUGCACACAUAACAAAGCGGUUUCUCAGAUUCCUUCUAGUUUUUAUCCUGGGAUAUUCACUUUUUUUACCAUUGACCUCAAAGAGCUCCCAAAUAUCCAUACACAUAAUCGACAAAAAAAGUGUUUAAAAAGGGCUCAAUCAAAAGAAAGGUUUAACUCUGUGAGAUGAAUGCUCAACUAAUAAAGCAGUUUCUCAAAAAGCUUUUCUCUAAUUUUUAUGUGAAGAUAUUUUGUUUUUCAACAUAGGCCUCAAUGCACUCCCAAAUAUCCCUUUGCACAUUCUACAGAAACAGUGUUUCCAAACUGCUGAAGGACAAGAAAGGUUUACCUCUG